UGCAUUGUCCAUUCUCAGUAAUAGUAUUGAUAUUAGUUAAGUGUCUGUUGGUUUUAUUUGGGUUAUUUAGCGAUUAUGUUAACAUAUUUGAACACAAACACUUCUGUUUGUCUGCGGUUAAAACAUUUGGUAGCCUACAUGGUAAAUGAUGUCAGGAUGAAUUUUGGAAGUCCUUUGCUAGUUAAGUUAGUUGAUAUACUGCUGAUAGUCAAUUGUGGUUCUUGUGUUUAUAUAAUUAUGGAUUUUGUUUGUUUUAACAGGGUUGGCAAAAUGCUCAUCAAGGUCCAGUACCGUGGACUAAAAAAGUACCUCAAACUGCAGCCUGGUUUUUCUUAUGAAAGUUUCAUUGAAGAAGAAUUUGUGCCAGCAGGUUCUUCUACUCUAAAUUCUUCACUUUUCUGAAGAACAAGGGGCAUCAAUCUCCUGGUGCAGGAGAGAACACCUCUGCCAUAGGGGAUGCAGCAGAAAAGGCCAAAUGGAUGGUCCAGGAGGUUCUGGAGAAGAGUUCAGGGGGAGAGGAAACAAUGGAGGAGUAUAAGAGAUUGAGCACCUUGACACACUGCACAAGACGGCAUCAUAUCCUGGUCAGCCACAUUGUUGAAAUGCAUGGGAACUCUGGAUCUCAUUCAUAGUCAGCAUUGGGUCCUUGGU